ensembl:miRNA
UUCUUUUUGCUUUCAGCUUCUUUACAGUGUUGCCUUGUGGCAUGGAGUUCAAGCAGCAUUGUACAGGGCUAUCAAAGCAUCGAGAGUU